CACCAACGCCGGUGUAUGAAAAGCCACUUCCACCACCUGUUCCAGUUUAUGAAAAACCUGUUCCACCACCUACACCGGUAUAUGAAAAGCCACUUCCACCACCUGUUCCUGUUUAUGAAAAACCUCUUCCCCCACCUACACCGGUCUAUGAAAAACCACUUCCACCGCCUACUCCAGUUUAUGAAAAACCUCAUCCUCCGCCUACACCUGUCUAUGAAAAGCCACUUCCACCGCCUGUUCCUGUUUAUGAAAAACCUCUUCCCCCACCUACACCGGUCUAUGAAAAACCACUUCCACCGCCUACUCCAGUUUAUGAAAAACCUCAUCCUCCGCCUACACCUGUCUAUGAAAAGCCACUUCCACCGCCUGUUCCUGUGUAUGUAAAGCCUAUUCCUCCACCUACUCCGAUCUAUGAAAAGCCACUUCCACCUCCUGUUCCGGUUUAUAAAAAACCUGUUCCUCCACCUACACCAGUCUAUGAAAAGCCACAUCCACCGCCUGUUUAU
rnacentral:lncRNA from 1 species